rnacentral:rRNA from 1 species
GAUGAACGCUGGCGGCGUGCUUAAUACAUGCAAGUCGAACGAAAAGGCGAGGAUCUUGCUGCUCGCACGUGAGGCGCGGACGUGUGAAUAACACGAGUAUAACCUACCUAUAAUACUGGUAUAACUUCGGGAAAGCGGAUCUAACAGCGGAUAAUAUAUUGAAGCACAUGGUUCAAUAGUGAAAGACGGUUUUGCUGUCACGUAUAGAUGGAUCCGCGCUGGUUUAGCUAGUUGUCACGGUAACGGCUUACCAAGGCAACGAUGCGUAGCCGACGGGCGAGGGUGAUAGGCGACUCUGGAAGUGAGCCACGGUCCAGACUACUACGGGAGGCAGCAGUCGGGAAUCUUAGGCAAUGGGGGAAAGUUUGGCGCAGCGAGCCGGAGUGUGAGAUGAAGGCCUUGCGAGCGUAAUAAUCUGUUAUUAGGGAAGAACCAAUGUGGACGUAAACAUGGAGGUAUUGACGGUACCUGCUAAGAAAGCACCGGCUAACUACGUG